rnacentral:rRNA from 1 species
UCGUGAGACAGUUCGGUCCCUAUCUGCCGUGGGCGUUGGAAGAUUGAAGGGGGCUGCUCCUAGUACGAGAGGACCGGAGUGGACGAACCUCUGGUGUUCGGGUUGUGUCGCCAGACGCAUUGCCCGGUAGCUAAGUUCGGAAUCGAUAACCGCUGAAAGCAUCUAAGCGGGAAGCGAGCCCUGAGAUGAGUCUUCCCUGAUACUUUAAGUAUCCUAAAGGGUUGUUCGAGACUAGAACGUUGAUAGGCAGGGUGUGUAAGCGCUGUGAGGCGUUGAGCUAACCUGUACUAAUUGCCCGUGAGGCUUAACCAUACAACACCCAAAGGGUUUUG